rnacentral:rRNA from 1 species
AGCGGUGGAGUAUGUGGCUUAAUUCGACGCAACGCGAAGAACCUUACCAAGGCUUGACAUACACCAGAAACCUCCGGAGAUGGGGGCCCCCUUGUGGUUGGUGUACAGCUGGUGCAUGGCUGUCGCCAGCUCGUGUCGUUAGAUGUUGGGUUAAGUCCCGCAACCAGCGCAACCCUUGUCCUGUGUUGCCAGCAGGCCCUUGUGGUGCUGGGGACUCACAGGAGACCGCCGGGGUCAACUCGGAGGAAGGUGGGGAUGACUCAAGUCAUCAUGC